ACUGGCAUGAGGCAGGGAGGGGGCGCUCAGACUCCCCCAAACUGUCCUCGGAAACAGAGCCUUCUCCAUGCCCCGAUCCAGCCCGCGGGGUCGCAGCUCCCUCACCUCCUCUCCCUACGCCACAUUCGCAACCAGGGGAAAAAGUAGAAACAGCCCCAGUAGAUCCUGCAAAAAAAAAGGCAGAGCAGGCCCGGCCGGCGGGCGGGGCGGGGCUGACCCUCAGACCCCGCCCCAGAGCCGCGCCCCCGGCGGCUCCGCCCACUCCGCCAAGGCGGGUCCAUCCGUAGCCCACGCCCCCUAGGGUCCCGCCCCCGCUCCCGCGGUGCACGCCCUCCCCCACCCCGAGUUUCCCGGGUCCUCCUCCGCAGAAGCACGCCUCCACUCACUCCUCUUCCGCCUCCAGCGCCACUUCGUAUCUCCGCAAUCCGGGCAUGUCCUGGGCUCCGACUGUCUCCUGGGGAGCGGCAGGGUUGGACCAAGUAUUCCCUAGCCCCAGGUCCCCUUCUCCAUCAUUCCCGGGACGAAUCUAGUCACCAGUUACUCUUGAGAACCACAAGUGAGGAAAUGUGUUGCAUGGAGAGUGGAACUGGAUCAAUACGUUGAGAGCUACCCGGCAAGACCCAAGAAACAGACCAGGAAACCUCUCAGGACAGACUGUAUCCAGCUCUAGGUUAUGUGAUGUGGCAGAUUUCACCAUAGGCUUGUUUUUCUGUUCCAUCCAUCCAUCCAGCCGUACCAAGGAUCAAAGGCCAAAUUUAUUUGAAACAUGCAGUUUAAAAAGAUUAGCACAAGAAGAAACAGAAAAUUGAAUAAAUGUAUGCACUUUAAAAAAUUUGAAUUUGUAAUCAAAAUUUCACAUGAAGUUCUGGACCUAGCAGUUUUCACUCAAGUGUUUUGAUAAACAUUCACUAAUAAAUAUCAUCAGCCUUACACUUUUUUUGGAAAAUAGAGAAGAGUGUAACAAUUCUGUUUUUUAAAGGCAGUGGGAAUCUAUCCUAAAAUUAUUCCAGAUAAUAUGGGUAUGGGUAGAAUAUGCCAAAUUUUUGAUGAACAUAGGUAUAAAACUUCGUAGUGAAAUUGAACUCAGAAAUAUAUAAGAAAGAUAUUAUAUCUUAAGUGACAUUUAUCUCAGGAAUACAAAGUUGAUUUGAUAUUUAGAAAUCAGUAUAAUUCACCACAUUACAAAGGUAAAAGAUAAGCUCAUCAUGGUGACUGAUACCAGUAGUCCCACACUUAGGCUGAGGCAGGAGGAUCACAAGUUUGAAUCCCACCUAGGCAGUUUAGCAAAACUGGCAAGAAGGGGCUGGGGAUCUAGCUCAGUGUAGAAUGUCCCUGGAUUUGAUCUCUGGAACUGCAGAAAGGGAACGCAAAAGAAAAGCAUAAGGAAAAGCUAAAGGAAGGAGAGGAGAGGAGGUAUCAGCUUAAUACAUUAAAAAAAUCCUUUGAGAAACUUAGCACUCAUUUAGGUUACAGAAAACUCCUUAGUUUGAUGAAAGGUAUCACAACAAUAACACUUAUGAAAUCUACUAUGAAAUCCUGAACAGUUCUAAAUAAAACUGGGAAGAAGUCACUUUGGUACAAAAUAGUAUUGGAGGUUCUAACCAGUACAAUUGGAAAGGUAACUAACUAAGAAAUACGAAAAAAGUAACAUUCAGCAAUCAUAUGUAUAAAGUAUCAAGAACUUUUAACUGCUGAAACUAGUACAUUAUUUUACCAAGAUUACUAAUAUAUUAAUGUAAACAAAGUAAUUUCAUUCUAUAUGCUAACAACAAGCAAUUAGAAAAUUUUAUUUACAAUAGCAUAUAGAUACAAAAUAUUUAAAAAUAAAUUUAAGAAAGAACAUGCAAUAAUAUUCUGGAAAAAAUCCAGAAUAUUAAAUUAAAGAAUUUAAAUGAAUGAAGGAUUCUACUAUGUCUGAGGUUUGGAAGUCUCAAUGUUAUUAAAGUCUAUUCUCAUAAGCACAAAUCUUGGUCUCAAUGAUAAAUUUAAUAGACUGGAUUCUAAAGUGAAAUCGACAUGUUAUUUCAAAUAUAUUUGAGAUUCAAAGGAUAUAGAAUAACCAAAAUCUUGUAAUAAAAUCAUAGUUAUUGGAUAUUACCUAUUUUAAAAACAAAAAAACUUGUAGAACUGCAGUAAUAAAGAUAAUGUGGAGACAGGGUAGGCAAUUAGGUCAGUCAAACAGUAUAGAAACCAAAAAUAGAACUAUUUAUAUAUAUAUAUAUAUAAUUUAUAUAUAUAUAUAUAUAAUCAUUUUAAUUUUUUUGUUUGUUUUGUUUUUGGUCUUUGUGACCCCAUAGCAAGUAGUAACUCUUUUUCUUUUCUGUUGUACUAGGAAUCAAACUCACGACCUCUCAUUUGCCAAACAGGCACCAUGCCACAGAGCUAUAUUUCCAGCCCACAGGGACUCACCGUGCAGUUCAGGCUGGCCUUGAACUCACUUUGUAACCCAGGCUGGCCUUGAACUUGCAAUGAUCCUCCUGCCUCAGCCUCUUGGAUGCUGGAAUUACAGGCAUGGGCCAUCACACCUGGCUAAUCACUUUAAUUUUAACAAAAACAUUAAGCCCAUGACCUUCCUGCUGUAAGAGAAGGAACCACUGUCAACCCAGAAUAAAACUGCCGGACAACAUGUGACCCAGCCUGUGUAACCAAUUAUAAAAUACCCUGCUAUCAGCCUUUUGUACUUCUGCCUACAACAUCAGGUGCUCCUCAACAGGCGCCCUCUGCUGCCCACUCUGCAGUUCAGCAAGGUCUUCAACAGCAGCGCCUCAACAAGCUCCUCUGCGUCUGCACCAUCAGUGUCCAGACCCCUGCUCUUGCCCAUGGACACAGUCUCCUUCUCUACCUGUGCCCCAGAUCCUUCAGAGUCAUGUUCAGUGUCCUCCAGGCUGAGUUUAAGGUCCAGUGUGUGGCAUCUUCCCAGGCUCUGUCAGUGAGGCCGACACAGUGGAGGAAUUCUCUCUGCAUCAGGGAUGUCUCCUGAGUGUCAGACACUGAAACACCCAGUGAAUCCCUCCUUUAUGUGCAGCUACUUGAAGUUGCAGGUCACUUGCUGGUCCCUGGGCUGCAGAAGAGGUGGCACGUUGUGGGGAGGAACUUGACCUUUCUGAAGUCACACUCAGGGUCCACAUCAUCCACCAGGGCUGGAGGGUGUUAGGGGCAGUGUCCGUCAGAAGAAGGCACCUUCCAGGCACUUGGGUGUCAGAGAGAUACUUCUUAACAGUGAACAUGAGCACCUUGUGCAGCCAUUCCAUGGACCCCUGCUUUCGCAUUGGCUCCCCACGUGACAGGCAGUCUGACCUUGUUCACAUUCUGCUCUUUGACUGCACGAGGGGGCUUAAUCUUCAAGUGUGGCUUGCAUUCACACAGCACAAGGGUCAGUCUGUCCUGUAUGGACUUGUGCCCUGACAGUGCCUCUUCCUCCUGCAUGGUAAUGGGUUUGAUUGGAAUCUUCCAGAAGAGCCCUGUUUCACAUGGCUAUACACUUGAGCAACAAAUCCUUCUGUCUUCACGAAUCCCCUGAAUGCUUUCUUGUUGGCUUCUGCAGCAGCCUUGUCAGAGCUGGAGCCUUACCAUGUCUCAGCACACCAUGAGCGUCACUUGCAGAAUUUAUCCAGCCACCCUCUAAUGGCUUUAAAGUCGUCACUGCUGCACUUGUAGAGGGGUUUUGUGGACUAAACCACUCUCCAGUUUCUUGGCUUUUCCACAGAUCACAGCUUUACUAAUGCUGUCACUUGCCAGCUGUUUCUCAUUCAACCACACUGACAAAAGUGUUUUCACCUCUUCCAACACUUGUGUUCCCCGCUUGGUUAACACUUUACUCCCUUUGUCAUGUCAUUUCCUUCAAUGGCAUCUUUGUUCUUUAAAACAGUUGAGACUGUCAACUUUGCCAUCUUAUACUCUGAGGCCAGAGGAGUCACAAGAAUACCACGCUCAUGCUUUUCUACAAUUUCCUUCUUUAGUUCGAUGGCGAUUUUCUUCAAAACCUUCUUACUGUUAUUCUUCUGCACAUUUUUGUCAUCUUCAUUACUGCUCUGCACUUUUUUUUUUUUUUACUGCUGUGCUUGCCCUGCACUUCUUUGGAGCCUCACUAGCCUGAAUAAUACUGUACAGUAUGUGUACACAGCGUACAAAAACCCGCAGCAAAUGUGUACGGGUUUGUCUGUGACUGAAACCUUGACUAGAGAAAAGUGUAACCAUGUGGCAUAUUUGUGUGAGGCAGAUAACUGAGCUAUAUUCAUCACCGGGUGCUGAGUUUGUUACUGGAAGCAAAGUUUUGCCUCACACUUCUACUUGCAGGCUGCAUUGUUUGCAAACGGAAGUGUUCAUGAACUGAGGUAACAGUAUUUCCCACUACUGGAAGAGCGCCAAUCUAUAACAAGAAUGUGACUCCUUCACGGAAAGAAUUAGGAGUCAAGGGAUGAAGAUGUUGAAUCUCUGAAUCCUGGGCUAAAGACCAAGACUAAAUCUCCUUAACAGAUCUCAGUAGAUGAUGUCACAAAAGUUUUUUAUUCUGAGACAAGGUUACACUGUGUAGUUCAGACUGGCCUUGCACUAACUAUAUGGUCCAGGUGGUCUUGAACUUGGGGCAGUCUUCCUGCCUCUGCCUCCCAAGUGCUGAGUUACAGGCGUGCGCUACCGCACCUGGUGACAUGACAAACUUUAUGGACCAUGACUGAGCUGAGUUUUCACCAUCUGCAUUUGAAAGAGCCCUCACAGUAUUCAUUGUGUUGUUCCUGUGUACGGAUGAAGCUCGAUGGCCCACUUGUCUUCUGUGUCACCUUCCGUGUGUUGCCAGCAUCAGAUGCCCUCUGUUAGGGUUCUUGCUGGGGUGCAGUGAGGACAGAGUUCAGUCUGAUUAACCGAACUCAAAAGUUCAGUUUUUUUGUUUCUUUGUUUUGCUUUCUGAGAUAAGAGUCUUACGGUGUAGUUCAGGUAGACUUGGACUCCUUGUGGAGCCCAGGUUGGUGCCAACUCAGUGACCCUUGUGCCUCAGCCUCUUGAGUGCUGAGAUUACAGGCAUGCAGCAUGAUGCCUGGCUUAGAGUCCGGUUCUAAGAAUAACCUUCAGUGUAAAGACAUAGAUUAAUCUCUUAUAAACUCUUGGGGCUGGGGAUUUAGCUCAGCGGCAUAAGCGCCUACCUUGCAAGCAGGCAGUUGUGAGUUUGAUCCCUGGUACCGAUAAAAAGGAAAAAGGCAAAAAAAAAAAAAUCUCUUAUAAACUCUGACUUUGUCUUUUUAAUAGCCUUACUCCAACUCUUUUUUUUUUUGGUACUAGGGAUCAAACUCAUGACUUCACACUUGCCAGUCAGGUGCUGGUGCCGCUGAGCUAAAUCCUUAGCCCUUUACUCAAAACUUAAAUGUACUAUUCCAAAUCUAGAACUACGGCAGUGUUCAGCAAAACAAAGGACUCUCCAGUCUGUAGGCUCCGUUAAACCCAGAAGCCAUUUAGCCACCCUGCUCUUUAAGUCUGCUGCUCUGGAUGUCAUAGUACUCCACAAGCGAUUUCUCAACCUAUUUCUGUGUGUCUGUGCUCAUAGUUGUAUAUGUGUCUGUUUUUGCCUUGUCUCUCCUGUGAUUAUAUGUUAAGUGUUUAAUAGGCCCUUGGUAUAUGUGACUGUGAUUGUGUGCCUAUAUGUGGGUUGGGGCCUGUGUAUGUGGGUGAGGGUGCAGAUGCUCGUGGAUUUGCGUGUUGACUUGUUUUCUGGGUGCUGUUUCAAUCCAUUCCCUCUGUGAAGCUCAAUCUCAAGGACCUGCACGGAGUAUUUUUUUUUUCUUUUUUUGUCUUUUUUUUCAUUUGUAUCGGUACUGGGGAUCGAACUCACGACUGCCUGCUUGCAGGCAGGUACUUAAGCCGCUGAGCUAAAUCCCCAGCCCCUACCUGUAAUAUUUUAUGACCAGGGGAAAGAGGAUGGGAGCUCUUGGCCUAGGCCCUCAACCUCAUGGGGCCUGCAGAGGGCGUCUAGUAUAUAGGCAAAUGGAGCGCGUGGUUUGUGGAAGGGAUGCUUUGGCCUGAGUGUGCUGGGGUGUCUUAUUCCAGAAAGGGACUGGAAAUGAGCAAGAAUCCAAAUCAAAUGACUCAGCUUCUGAAAGUCCCUGAUCCUGGAGGGGUCCUGUUUCAUUUUCUGUCUUUCUCCAAGUUUUCUGCCCAUUUCCAGAGUGUCUUGGCCCAGACAAAGGGGCAGAGCUUGGCUCUGCAGUCCUAGAGAGUAAGUGAGAUAUUGCGGAGGUGAUAGGACUCCGGACAGGAAGUCGUCUUGAGCAAUAGUGCAGCCACCUUCCCCUGCCUCUUGCCCGCCGGAGCUGAAGUGGUGCCACUUUGGGGGUCUUUGAAAGUUUCUCAGUCAUUGUGAGCUGGAGUAUGCCUGGGCCUGGACUAAGCUUGCUUGGGAAAGGCUCAGUAAACAAGGGCUUCUGAACACGAAGUGGGAGGUGACCUGAGUGGCUGCUGAGGGAGAGUUUUGGGGGCUGGAGUGAGGCAGGAGAGCUGGGCGAUGGAGGGAGCUUUGCAGGACUUUGAGUGUGGCUGGGACAGGAGGGAGAUUUUCUAAGGAGAAUGAACAGCAGCACGAAGGCUCAAAGGAGAGACUUGGAGUUAACAUAUUCAUGCCACCUUGAGCCACUGACAGUACACGUGUGGUGGUCACAUGGGGCGACUUGUACCACUGGUGGUACACAUGCAUGACGGCCCCAUGCUGCCUGAUGGGACAUUCGUGCAUGUGCAGCCCCACUGUGAACACGUUAGCCCUAAUGCAGGUAAGGGCGGAAGGUUGGAAAGAGUGUGGUUGUAUAUGAAAUAACUGGGGACUUGUUUCCAGAGCCUCACUGGAAGAGUACCUCACUGUAGAGUAAUUCCUGACAGGGCCGGGGAUUUAGCUCAGUAGUGUAAGCUCCUCUGGCAAGUGCUGGCAAGUGCUAGGUCGUGAGUUUGAUCCCUGUUACAAAAAAGACUUCUGGCAGUGGAGCUGUGGGGGUGACCAUGCCAGCUUCAAUCUGCAGUCCCAAGAGGGUGCAUCCAGACUGGCCACAUCUGUCAAAAUAUACGGGAGGCUGAGAGCGGGUACCUGGCUAUCUGGGCUUUUUUUUUUUUUUUUUUUUUUGUCUUUUUCCUUUUUUAUCGGUACCAGGGAUCGAACUCACGACUGCCUGCUUUGCAGGGCAGCUGCUUAUGCCACUGAGCUAAAUCCCCAGCCCCUGCUAUCUGGGCUUUUAUGUGGGAAGAGGAUUCUGUGCUGCAGUCGCCCUAAGAAGGGAGGUGGGAGUCAGCCUGGAAGGGAUCAGUGGGGUGGAAGAAGCUGUGCAGACCUAGAGAUAUUAAAGAGAUGGGAAACAACUGGAACGAGGGGGAAGAACACAUGGAGACUAGCGCACACCUGUAAUCCCAGCAUUCCGGAGGCUGAGGCAGGAGGAUCAUUGCAAGUUCGAGACCAGCCUGGACUACAUAGUGAGACCCUGUCUCAAAGACAAAAAAAAAAAAAAAAAAAAAAAAAAAAAAAAAAAAAAAAAAGAAAGAAAGAAAGAGCAGAUGAAGAGCCAGGGAUGACACACGAUGUGCGUCUGGGUUCCAGGUUGCAGAGCUGCUGCCUGUUUGGGAUUUCCUCUUGGCUCUCUCAUGGCUGCCUAAUUCCAAACCCAAACUGGGCUUCCAGCACCUCCCUCUUAGCUUAUUUUUCUUGUGAUUCACUUGUGUCUGAGACUGUCAUGCCUUGCUGCAGCUGCCCAGACCUGAAACCUGGAUCAGCUCUGUUUGUCCUCUUUCCUUUAUGCCUCAAAUAUAAUAAAAAGAUUUAAAUUA